GGAGCUUGCUUUGGUGGAUUAGUGGCGAACGGGUGAGUAACACGUGAGUAACCUGCCCCCGACUCUGGGAUAAGCCUGGGAAACUGGGUCUAAUACCGGAUAUGACCUCCUACCGCAUGGUGGGUGGUGGAAAGAUUUAUCGGUGGGGGAUGGACUCGCGGCCUAUCAGCUUGUUGGUGAGGUAAUGGCUCACCAAGGCGACGACGGGUAGCCGGCCUGAGAGGGUGACCGGCCACACUGGGACUGAGACACGGCCCAGACUCCUACGGGAGGCAGCAGUGGGGAAUAUUGCACAAUGGGCGAAAGCCUGAUGCAGCGACGCCGCGUGAGGGAUGACGGCCUUCGGGUUGUAAACCUCUUUCAGUAGGGAAGAAGCGAAAGUGACGGUACCUGCAGAAGAAGCGCCGGCUAACUACGUGCCAGCAGCCGCGGUAAUACGUAGGGCGCAAGCGUUAUCCGGAUUUAUUGGGCGUAAAGAGCUCGUAGGCGGUUUGUCGCGUCUGCCGUGAAAGUCCGAGGCUCAACCUCGGAUCUGCGGUGGGUACGGGCAGACUAGAGUGAUGUAGGGGAGACUGGAAUUCCUGGUGUAGCGGUGAAAUGCGCAGAUAUCAUGAGGAACACCGAUGGCGAAGGCAGGUCUCUGGGCAUUUACUGACGCUGAGGAGCGAAAGCAUGGGGAGCGAACAGGAUUAGAUACCCUGGUAGUCCAUGCCGUAAACGUUGGGCACUAGGUGUGGGGGACAUUUCCACGUUUUUCCGCGCCGUAGCUAACGCAUUAAGUGCCCCGCCUGGGGGAGUACGGCCGCAAGGCUAAAACUCAAAGGAAUUGACGGGGGGCCCGCACAAGCGGCGGAGCAUGCGGAUUAAUUUCGAUGCAACGCGAAGAACCCUUACCAAGGCUU
rnacentral:rRNA from 1 species